rnacentral:misc_RNA from 1 species
AAGUCGUAACAAGGUAACCGUAGGUGAACCUGCGGUUGGAUCAUUAAAAAACUUUCGGAGCAAAACUUGGCAAACUUGAAAAGCACGGUGGGUUAUGGUUCGGCCGGCCUGUUCAAUGCUACUUGCGAGCCCUGUUUUCACGAAAACCCUGUGUGAACCGUAAUAUUUAUUCCAUCCACGUAAUAAGAAAUUUCUAGUCUAAAGUCUUCUUCAUAUCACAAAGAAUAUGAUAAAAACAACUUUUGGCAACGGAUCUCUUGGCUCUC